rnacentral:rRNA from 1 species
GAUGAACGCUGGCGGCGUGCCUAACACAUGCAAGUCGAACGGUUAAACCGCCCUCGGGCGGACAUAGAGUGGCGAACGGGUGAGUAACACGUGCCCAACCUGCCCCCCUCUCCGGGACAGCCGCGGGAAACCGCGAUUAAUACCGGAUGACGCCCGGGCCCCGCAUGGGGCCCGGGCCAAAGCCCAGGUGGAGGGGGAUGGGGCCGCGGCCCAUCAGGCAGACGGCGGGGUGACGGCCCACCGUGCUUUCGACGGGUAGCCGGGUUGAGAGACCGACCGGCCACAUUGGGACUGAGAUACGGCCCAGACUCCUACGGGAGGCAGCAGUGGGGAAUUUUGCGCAAUGGGGGCAACCCUGACGCAGCAACGCCGCGUGCGGGACGAAGGCCUUCGGGUCGUAAACCGCUUUCAGCAGGGAAGACAGCGACGGUAC